GAUGAACGCUGGCGGCGUGCCUAAUACAUGCAAGUCGAGCGAACGGACGAGAAGCUUGCUUCUCUGAUGUUAGCGGCGGACGGGUGAGUAACACGUGGAUAACCUACCUAUAAGACUGGGAUAACUUCGGGAAACCGGGGCUAAUACCGGAUGAUAUUUUGAACCGCAUGGUUCAAAAGUGAAAGACGGUCUUGCUGUCACUUAUAGAUGGAUCCGCGCUGCAUUAGCUAGUUGGUAAGGUAACGGCUUACCAAGGCAACGAUGCAUAGCCGACCUGAGAGGGUGAUCGGCCACACUGGAACUGAGACACGGUCCAGACUCCUACGGGAGGCAGCAGUAGGGAAUCUUCCGCAAUGGGCGAAAGCCUGACGGAGCAACGCCGCGUGAGUGAUGAAGGUCUUCGGAACGUAAAACUCUGUUAUUAGGGAAGAACAUAUGUGUAAGUAACUGUGCACAUCUUGACGGUACCUAAUCAGAAAGCCACGGCUAACUACGUG
rnacentral:rRNA from 1 species